AUUGAACGCUGGCGGCAGGCUUAACACAUGCAAGUCGAGCGAGCGGCGGACGGGUGAGUAAUGUCUGGGAAACUGCCUGAUGGAGGGGGAUAACUACUGGAAACGGUAGCUAAUACAGCAUACAAUCAGAUGUGCCCAGAUGGGAUUAGCUAGUAGGUGGGGUAAUGGCUCACCUAGGAGACGAUCCAUAGCUGGUCUGAGAGGAUGACCAGCCACACUGAAACGUAGACACGUUCCAGUCUCCUACGGGAGGCAGCAGUGAGGAAUAUUGCACAAUGGGCGCAAGCCUGAUGCAGCCAUGCCGCAUGUGUGAAGGAGCCCUUCGGGUUGUGAAGCACUUUCAGCGAGGAGGCGUUACUCGCAGAAGAAGCACCGGCUAACUCCGUGCCAGCAGCCGCGGUAAUUC
rnacentral:rRNA from 1 species